rnacentral:rRNA from 1 species
UACGUAGGGUGCGAGCGUUGUCCGGAAUUAUUGGGCGUAAAGAGCUCGUAGGCGGUCUGUCGCGUCUGCUGUGAAAACCCGAGGCUCAACCUCGGGCCUGCAGUGGGUACGGGCAGACUAGAGUGCGGUAGGGGAGAAUGGAAUUCCUGGUGUAGCGGUGGAAUGCGCAGAUAUCAGGAGGAACACCGGUGGCGAAGGCGGGUCUCUGGGCCGUAACUGACGCUGUAGCGCGAAAGCGUGGGGAGCGAACGGG